rnacentral:rRNA from 1 species
UACGUAGGUGGCAAGCGUUGUCCGGAAUUACUGGGCGUAAAGAGUGUGUAGGCGGUGCUCUAAGUCUGUUGUGAAAUCUCCCGGCUUAACUGGGAGGGUGCGGCGGAGACUGGAGUGCUAGAGUGUGGGAGAGGUAAGCGGAAUUCCUGGUGUAGCGGUGAAAUGCGUAGAUAUCAGGAGGAACACCUGUGGUGUAGACAGCUUACUGGACCACGACUGACGCUGAGACACGAAAGCGUGGGUAGCAAACAGG